AACCUGGUUGAUCUGCCAGUAGUCAUAUGCUUCGUUCAAGGGCUAAGCCAUGCAUGUCUCAGCGCAAAUGGAAUCUACAGUGGGUCUGUGAAUGGCUCCUUACAUCAGCAGUCAUCCAAGUGAUAGAGUGUGAUUGAUCCUGGUCUCGUGGAUCCAUUGGACAUCCACAAAAACCUUGUGGCUAAUACACCCAAGCAAGAGUCUGCCAUGUCACAUCAGUAUCCACAUCUGUGUGAUCUGAUGAUGGUGUAUGGACUGCAUGCAGCUGAAUCCAAGACCAGCGCCAGCAAUGGCAGUGCAGAGCUGAAUCAGGCUGUUCCUGUGUGGGACACCAGUGUUGGCAGAGUAUUGUGGCUCUCUGAGCCAGAAGUGCUUGAUCACUCGAACUUCUGACCUAUCAGCUGAGACUGUGGUGUAGUGGACCACAGUGGCUUUGACGGGUAACGGAGAAUUAGGGUUCGAUUCCGGAGAGGGAGCCUGAGAGACGGCUACCACUACCAAGGUGGGCAGCAGGCGCGCAAAUUGCCCAAUACUGACACAUCUCAGUGAGGCAGCGACGAACUGCAGCAAUUCUGCUGGUUUCACAAUCAGCAGAACUUGGAAUGGAUGCUAUCCAAACCCAGCCAUGAGCAACAACUGGAGGGCAAGUCUGGUGCCAGCAGCUGCGGUAAUUCCAGCUCCAAGGGCGUAUACUAACAUUGCUGCUGUUAAAACACUUGUAGUCUGCCACUGGGAUGCAGGUCUGCUGAGUGGCUAGUGGCUGUCUGGCUCUGCCCCUUGUGGGUUUGGGCUGGGCUGUUGCUGGGAACAACCCUCGGCAGUAUGUCCCUGCUCCCAACUCACCCAAUGUGUGAAAUGAUGGUUUGGAUUGCCCCUGCUCUCAGCCUCCUUCAGUGGAGGUCAAAGUGGUGCUUGCACUCAAAGCUUGUGUGGGUAAAGAUGGAGCCAUUGCCAAAGAAAUCUGUGUGAUGGAGGAACUUCAGCCCACCUCCGGGGCCAACCAUCAAGCAACCCUGGAAAACUCAGUGUGCCUCAAGCAUCCAAUCUUGGCUGGAUGCUCAUCCAUGGAAUUGCAUAGCAUCGACCAGAUCUGGCAGCACAGUUGUGCUGGCCUUGGUGCCAAUCAGGAGAAUGUGGAGCUGUGCCCUGGCUGCUAAGGGUUUCCAGCCACUUUUCAGUUCCCCUAUGUGGGUCUGGAUGUGACAGUGGUCUUGGAUUCUCCAGAUCAGCCUGUGGUGCUGUCUCUGAACGGAAGUGAUGGGACUGCUCAGGGUGGAAGGUACUGCAGGCCAGAGUGAAAUUCUUAGACCGCUGCAUGACCAACUGCAGCGAAGGCGUUUCUGCCAAGUGCAUGUUCGUCGAUCAAGAAUGAGACCUGGGGAGCGAAGAUGAUCAGACACCGUCGUAGUCCAGUGCUGUAAACUAUGUCAGCUCGGAUUUGGGUGGGCAAGUCUGCAGGACCCACUCAGYUCCAUGCCCCCUGCAACGAGAAAUCCAAGCUKWWGAUUCAGGGGGGAGUACUGUCGCAAGGCUGAAACUAAAAGGAAUUGACGAAUGGCACCACAAGGUGUGGAGUAUGCGGCUUAAUUUGACUCAACACGGGGAAUGUUACCAGGUCAGGACAUUGCCAGGAUGGACAGAUUGAGAGCUCUUUCUUGAUCCUUUGGAUGGUGGUGCAUGGCCGCUCCUGAUUGGUGGAGUGAUUUGUCUGGUUGAUUCCGAUAACGAGUGAGAUAUCUGCCUUCCACUAGCCACCCACUCGCAUUUGUAGGGUGGAGUGUGUCAAGGGCCCCUAUGGUGGCUUGCUGCCACAGGGUUGCCUCUGGCCAUUCCCCUGAGAGAGGGUGAUAAGCUUCUCUGAGGUGCUGUGGCCGUCAGCCAAGGCCAUGCAUGCUAGAGCCAACAGCAGGUCUGUGAUGCUCCCAGAUGUCCUGGGCCGCACGCGCACUACAUUGACACAGUGAAUGUGCCCUUAUGCUCCUUCUUUGUGAGCCCUGACCAGAAGUGGUUGGGAAAUCAUGAGAGUCUGUGCUGUACUGGGGAUAGAUGUUUGCAACUAUCUGCCUUGAACGAGGAAUACCUAGUAAGGCUCUGUCAUCAGCAGAGUCUGAUUGUGUCCCUGCCAUUUGUACACACCGCCCGUCGUUGCUACCGAUGGGAGCUGGACAGAGCCAUCAGGAGAUUCAGGKGCYCYCUKCMCCCCAGGUUGAAAUUGGGCAAUGUUCAGUUCCYAGAGGAAGCAAAAGUCGCAACAAGGUGUUUUGUAGGGAACCUCUCCAAAG
rnacentral:rRNA from 1 species